rnacentral:rRNA from 1 species
UGAGGAAUAUUGGUCAAUGGACGAGAGUCUGAACCAGCCAAGUAGCGUGCAGGAUGACGGCCCUAUGGGUUGUAAACUGCUUUUGUUUGGGAAUAAUCGACAUUACGUGUAAUGUUUUGCAUGUACCAUUCGAAUAAGGACCGGCUAAUUCCGUGCCAGCAGCCGCGGUAAUACGGAAGGUCCAGGCGUUAUCCGGAUUUAUUGGGUUUAAAGGGAGUGUAGGCGGUUGGUUAAGCGUGUUGUGAAAUGUAGAUGCUCAACAUCUGACUUGCAGCGCGAACUGGCUGACUUGAGUACACACAACGUAGGCGGAAUUCAUGGUGUAGCGGUGAAAUGCUUAGAUAUGACGAAGAACUCCGAUUGCGAAGGCAGCUGACGGGAGCGCAACUGACGCUUAAGCUCGAAGGUGCGGGUAUCAAACAGG